GAUGAAGAACGCAGCGAAAUGCGAUAAGUAAUGUGAAUUGCAGAAUUCAGUGAAUCAUCGAGUCUUUGAACGCACAUUGCGCCCCCUGGUAUUCCGGGGGGCAUGCCUGUCCGAGCGUCAUUGCCGCCCUCAAGCACGGCUUGUGUGUUGGGCCCCCGCCCCCCGGCUUCGGGGGGCGGGCCCGAAAGGCAGCGGCGGCACCGCGUCCGGUCCUCGAGCGUAUGGGGCUUCGUCACCCGCUCUGUAGGCCCGGCCGGCGCCCGCCGGCGACCCCAAUCGAUCUUUCCAGGUUGACCUCGGAUCAGGUAGGGAUACCCGCUGAACUUAAGCAUAUCAAUAAGCGGAGGA
rnacentral:misc_RNA from 1 species